CUAGCUCCCAGGCUCUGUCCUCGCGAUCUCCCGCAGGAGUCCGGCUUCAGCCGGCCAAGGAAACACAGAAGCGCGUACACUUUAACUGGUGAUGCCCGCGUAGCUCCUUACCCGGUCUGAAUCCUCCAGAGCAGCUGAGACAACCAGCCAGAGAAGCCCGGUCCCGGAUGAGGGCGUGGCCUUAGCGACCGGAAGUGCAACUUCUACGCGUCACUUCCGGCAGGCCAAGCCAGAGAAGCUUGAGGCGGUUGUGCGUCUUCAGUUAGGCAUGGUGGCUUGUAUAAGUUUGUGGGUCGUGUAGUGUUUGCAGGGCUCUGCACUGGACUCCCGGGACACAAAGAUGAUGAGCGCUGAGUCUGUGUCGUUCCAGAAUGUGCAGUCUAGAGGGAGAGAGAGACGAAAGGACUCUUGGGAGUAAGAUCUUCCUUAUACUGUCCUUUGAACUGGACUUUAAAAAUCCAAUUUGUAGCGAAAUUGUUGGUGGGAGAGAGCGGAGGCUCGGCAAAGAUGGCAGCGCCGUAAGAGUGUCGCUGAGAUUCAAGUCAGAAGAAACCUUUUGGGGCACCUGUUGGUUCUGAGUGGUGCUUCGUGAUUGCCCUGUCUGGAGCUAAUUCACAAUUUGUGGCCAGAGUUAAUUUUCAAAAAAAUUUUAGUCGUCUGUCCAGUUAGUGUCCUCGUCCCGGGACACCACCCCCAGUUUUGUUCCGUGAGAAACGGCCAUCAUGCUAGGAAAAGAAUUGUAGAGUAGCUCAGUUCUUGGUGUCAGGAGUGCAUGGAAGAAACAGUUGUUCAUGUCAGAGCAGAUGGGGAACAGGAGAAUGGGAAGAAGUGAGUUCCACCUCUCAAACAUUCCGUGGCCUUCCAAAAUAGCACCGCUGGCCAUUGGAGUUAUUUCAGAUUCAAAGCUUGUGUAAACCCACAGGCUGUCAUUCUAGAUUUUUACAGAAAAAAAAAAAACAAAAAACAAAAAACAAGAAGACAGUUUUGUAUGAAAAAAGUGUGCCUGCUUUGGUGGUCAUCACCCUCUGGACAUUGAUUGAACUUCAUUAAAAUGUACAGGAGAACAGAGCAGCAGAAGGUGGAAAUGGAUUAUCAACUCCGUCAUUUGAAGCAAAGGAAAAUGUGAAUGUGCAUGCCGUUAGCUGAUAAACACAGCAUUUCCUUCCCAAGCUAAAAUGCUGCUGAAUUUCCUGAGGGUGCUUGGGUCUCUACCUCAAAAUUUUGGUUAACGUCUGUGAAGACUAACGCUGAAAAAUAUCACUUAGAAACAUGAUGGGUGCUGCAAGAGGAAAAACAUCACAACAGUGUAGUGAGAAAAUACGCAUCAUGGGGAGAGCAGCUAAAUACGGUUUCUAUUUCUUUCUUAAAUAAAAAGGUUAGCAAAA